AGACCCGAAACCCGGUGAUCUAGCCAUGGGCAGGUUGAAGGUUGGGUAACACUAACUGGAGGACCGAACCGACUAAUGUUGAAAAAUUAGCGGAUGACCUGUGGCUGGGGGUGAAAGGCCAAUCAAACCGGGAGAUAGCUGGUUCUCCCCGAAAGCUAUUUAGGUAGCGCCUCGUGAAUUCAUCUCCGGGGGUAGAGCACUGUUUCGGCUAGGGGGCCAUCCCGGCUUACCAACCCGAUGCAAACUGCGAAUACCGGAGAAUGUUAUCACGGGAGACACACGGCGGGUGCUAACGUCCGUCGUGAAGAGGGAAACAACCCAGACCGCCAGCUAAGGUCCCAAAGUCAUGGUUAAGUGGGAAACGAUGUGGGAAGGCCCAGACAGCCAGGAUGUUGGCUUAGAAGCAGCCAUCAUUUAAAGAAAGCGUAAUAGCUCACUGGUCGAGUCGGCCUGCGCGGAAGAUGUAACGGGGCUAAACCAUGCACCGAAGCUGCGGCAGCGAACGUAUCACCCAAGACAACUUUACGGAGUUGACGAUUGACGGAGCGAAGCGACGUCAAAGCGUUC
rnacentral:rRNA from 1 species